AAGUAYAUGUGCACCGAAUAUAUAAAGUGGAUGCAUCAUCCCAUCCAUCUGGACAAAAUUGGAAUAGAAAGGAAGAYCCCUAAGAAAGAAAGGUGACAGAUUAUUGAUGAGAAGAGAAGAAGGAGACAGUGGCAUCGUCUUGUCUUAGCACCAAAUACCGCCUUGGAGUUGUAUACUGUGCAAAAAGCAUCCGCAUGCGGAAAAGCAGUUAGUGGUCCUGCAAACAGUCAUCAUGGUGGAUUUUAUGGUGGGAUUUCUACUGCAGAGAGAGAACUAUCUGUGAAUUUCCAGGUGGCCAGACUGCUGACUGCACAAGAGGACUUCAACAACAUGAAGAAGUCUCUGAGCUGA
ensembl:lncRNA